rnacentral:tRNA from 1 species
UACAGUUUUGCCGAGUGGUCGAAGGCGCCAGAUUUAGGCUCUGGGCCGCAAGGGUGUGGGCUCAAAUCCAACAUCAGUCA